UACCAAACCACAAGGACUAUCCGUGCAUUUUACUCUUAUUUUUAUUUGUUGCAAUAUUGGGGAAUUUAAUUUAAUUAAAACAGGUGAUUAGGAGCUUAAAAUAUAAAAUUUUAUGAGUUUAAUCCGUUGGUUUUCGUUAAGUUUAUAAAAGAAAUCGUUUAACGGAGUUGCUUUAUAAUAACAAAUCAAGUUAGAGUACAUAAAGGAAUUCCCUAACUAAUUUUAGGUUACUAUACUCAAUCAAGUUAUAAUCAAGAUUCAAGGGGUUUAGGUUACUAUACUCAAUCAAGUUAUAAACUCAAGGGGUUAGUGUAAAGUUAAGUUCAUGUACAAAAUGUCUUAUUGUACGAAAGGCAUGAAAAACCUAAAAAACACGGUGACAUUUUCUUAAUUAUUUACUUGUGAUAAUUACUCUACAAAUGAUCUUGUAAGGUAAUUUUGAUCUUGUAGAGUAAUUUUUUGUAAAAUGUUCUUGUAGGAUAAUUUUGAUCUUGUAGAGCAAUUUUGUAGAGUAUCAUAAUUACUCUACAAAUGAUCUUGUAUGGUAUUUUGAUCUUGUAAGGUAAUUUUGUAGAGUAUCUUAAUUACUCUACAAAUGAUUUUGUAGAGUAAUUUUGAAUUGUAUGUUGUUUGAUAAACUUGCAGAGUAAUUUUGAUACACUUGUAGAGUAUUUUUAAUAAUUACAAUACAAGAUAAUUGUAUGUUGUUUGAUAAACUUGCAGAGUAAUUUUGAUACACUUGUAGAGUAAUUUUAAUAACUACCAUACAAGAUCAAAAUUACUCUACAAGAUAGGGCGGCGCCGGGAUUCGAACCGGCUACUUCAACCGGCCGAAACACUAACAUCACGCAACACAACCAGCUGAUCUACAACGCUGGUUGUGUUGAUGUUGGAUUUGAUUAAAACUUAAACUGUUACGACAGUGUGAAUUUGGUCAUCUUCUCCACACAACAGCCAAGUAACGCGACCAUCCACUCACCUUCGAUCCGUUUCUUUCGUUAAAAUGACACCUGAACCUUACGAUGACCCUAAACGUCACGACAUUGAAGUGGGAUGAUUGAGUGUUAUGUGCUUACUUUUCUACAAAGUGCUGUGUCCGUACUUUGGCAAGUUAGGCUCCCAUACGCAAAAAUAGCUGGUGAACUAAAAGUCAACUACCAAUGAUCUCUUAGUCUAGUAGUUAAGUGGGAGGUGAGAAACUUUGCUUCUCUUGGAGAUCCUGGGUUCAAAUCCAGGUAAGGGGGAUUUUAAUACUAACUUAGUGAUACUAACAUAUUAAUUACUAACCCGAUUAACGACAUUCUAACCGUACGC
rnacentral:lncRNA from 1 species